AUUUAUGGCCACACCACCCUGAAUAUGCCUCAUCCAAUCUGAUCUCAGAAGCUAAGCAGGGUUGGAAGGUAAGUAUUUGGAUAGGAGAGACAAUAUGCUUCCUAUGUCACAGGUA
ensembl:rRNA 5S_rRNA 5S ribosomal RNA